rnacentral:rRNA from 1 species
UACAGAGGGUGCAAGCGUUAAUCGGAAUGACUGGGCGUAAAGGGUGCGUAGGUGGCUGUUUAAGUGAGAUGUGAAAUCCCCGGGCUUAACCUGGGAACGGCAUUUGAUACUGGACGGCUAGAGUAUGGGAGAGGUAAGUGGAAUUUCCGGUGUAGCGGUGAAAUGCGUAGAUAUCGGAAGGAACACCAGUGGCGAAGGCGGCUUACUGGCCUAAUACUGACACUGAGGCACGAAAGCGUGGGGAGCAAACAGG